UACAGAGGUGGCGAGCGUUAUUCGGAAUUAUUGGGCGUAAAGGGCGCGUAGGCGGCUUGACAAGUCCCGGGGGAAAUCCCUCGGCUCAACCGAGGAACUGCCUUGGAAACUGUCUGGCUUGAGGCCGGGAGAGGGUAGUGGAAUUCCCAGUGUAGCGGUGAAAUGCGUAGAUACUGGGAGGAACACCGGUGGCGAAGGCGGCUACCUGGACCGGUUCUGACGCUGAGGCGCGAAAGCGUGGGUGGCAAACAGG
rnacentral:rRNA from 1 species